UGAGCGAGCGUUAACCAAUCAGAGGUGAUUGCGAUCGUGACAUUGUAGCUAUCAUUCUAUCGCAAUCGAGUCGACGUACUUUUGUUUU